rnacentral:rRNA from 1 species
UACGGGAGGGCAGCAGUGGGGAAUAUUGCACAAUGGGCGCAAGCCUGAUGCAGCCAUGCCGCGUGUAUGAAGAAGGCCUUCGGGUUGUAAAGUACUUUCAGUCGUGAGGAAGGUGUUAAGGUUAAUAACCUUAGCAAUUGACGUUAGCGACAGAAGAAGCACCGGCUAACUCCGUGCCAGCAGCCGCGGUAAUACGGAGGGUGCGAGCGUUAAUCGGAAUUACUGGGCGUAAAGGGCACGCAGGCGGUUAAUUAAGUUGGAUGUGAAAUCCCCGGGCUUAACCUGGGAAUGGCAUUCAAGACUGGUUAGCUAGAGUCUUGUAGAGGGGGUAGAAUUCCAUGUGUAGCGGUGAAAUGCGUAGAGAUGUGGAGGAAUACCGGUGGCGAAGGCGGCCCCUGGACAAAGACUGACGCUCAUGUGCGAAAGCGUGGGGAGCAAACAGGGAUUAGAUACC